rnacentral:lncRNA from 1 species
GAAGGGAAAUAUUCAGCGGGUCAAGGAUAAAUUCAAGGUGGUUUGAAGAGGAGAGGACGUGUGGGAGGAGAAAGCAGGAGUUUUAGAGAAAGGUUCAAAACACCUCUUGGUGGAGAUUCAACGGUUUUCGAAGGAGAUCUCCUCUCCAUUGGGCACAAAACACACAGCUGCAUCCAUUAGGAAGGGGGGACAUCUUUCCUCCAAAGCAUUCGGCACGUGCCUUUGAGGAAUUCUCCAUAGGUAGUUGCAUCUCGGGGAGGAAGGGCCACACACACCACGCUCCGAAGACACCACAAUUCACAUAGUCCACCUUUGAAGGGGCACGCACAUAGUGGGCGCAUGCCUUGAGGACAAAAGCCGCAUGAUUUGGCAAAGGAAUAGCCGUCUAGUCUGCUUCGAAAUGCUGCCACUUUGAGGAUCCACCACGCACAGCCUACAGAGCACAUAGCACGCAUAUAGGGAGAAAGAUCCAAGCCGCCAUUCAUGCUAUAGGGCACGCCCCAUGGGACUCUCCUUGAAGCGGCACCAUUUUAUAAGGCAAUCUUCAACACGCACCGAGCCCAACCACAAGAGGACGAUCAGAAUUUUAUCAAAGAGAGGAUGAUCAGUUUUUUCAAAGAGAGGACGAUCAGAAUUUUUUUAGAGUGGACAAAGAUAAGAAUUUUUUGAGAGGAGGACAAUUACAAUUUUUUAGAGUGGAAGACGAUCAGAAUUUUUCAGAGGGAUCAUAAUCAGAAUUUUUCUGGAGUGGACGCACUACCAGAAUUGGAGGAACCAACACACCAUCGACAACCUCUCUCCAUCUUCACGCACAAUCAUUAUUAAUUAAGUUUCUGCAGCAACGGACAACACAAUUGCCAAUUCUUUAAGGUAUGAGAUUGUUUUUU